GAUGAACGCUGGCGGCGUGCUUAACACAUGCAAGUCGAGCGAAGCGAUUUUAAGGAAGCCUUCGGGUGGAAUUAAAAUUGACUUAGCGGCGGACGGGUGAGUAACGCGUGGGUAACCUGCCUCAUACAGGGGGAUAACAGUUAGAAAUGACUGCUAAUACCGCAUAAGCGCACAGUGCUGCAUAGUACAGUGUGAAAAACUCCGGUGGUAUGAGAUGGACCCGCGUCUGAUUAGGUAGUUGGUGAGGUAACGGCCCACCAAGCCGACGAUCAGUAGCCGACCUGAGAGGGUGACCGGCCACAUUGGGACUGAGACACGGCCCAAACUCCUACGGGAGGCAGCAGUGGGGAAUAUUGGACAAUGGGGGAAACCCUGAUCCAGCGACGCCGCGUGACUGAAGAAGUAUUUCGGUAUGUAAAGGUCUAUCAGCAGGGAAGAAAAUGACGGUACCUGACUAAGAAGCCCCGGCUAACUACGUG
rnacentral:rRNA from 1 species